GACGGAGGAUGCAAGUGUUAUCCGGAAUCACUGGGCGUAAAGCGUCUGUAUGUGGUCUAACAAGUCAACUGUUAAAUCUUGAGGCUUAACUUCAAAAUCGCAGUCGAAACUGUUAGACUAGAGUAUAGUAGAGGUAAAGGGAAUUUCCAGUGGAGCGGUGAAAUGCGUAGAGAUUGGAAAGAACACCAAUGGCGAAGGCACUUUACUGGGCUAUUACUAACACUCAGAGACGAAAGCUAGGGUAGCAAAUGGG
rnacentral:rRNA from 1 species